rnacentral:rRNA from 1 species
AUUGAACGCUGGCGGCAGGCUUAACACAUGCAAGUCGAGCGGGGUGAUGGUGCUUGCACUAUCACUUAGCGGCGGACGGGUGAGUAAUGCUUAGGAAUCUGCCUAUUAGUGGGGGACAACAUCUCGAAAGGGAUGCUAAUACCGCAUACGUCCUACGGGAGAAAGCAGGGGAGCACUUGUGACCUUGAGCUAAUAGAUGAGCCUAAGUCGGAUUAGCUAGUUGGUGGGGUAAAGGCCUACCAAGGCGACGAUCUGUAGCGGGUCUGAGAGGAUGAUCCGCCACACUGGGACUGAGAUACGGCCCAGACUCCUACGGGAGGCAGCAGUGGGGAAUAUUGGACAAUGGUGGGAACCCUGAUCCAGCCAUGCCGCGUGUGUGAAGAAGGCCUUAUGGUUGUAAAGCACUUUAAGCGAGGAGGAGGCUCUUUUGGUUAAUACCCAAGAUGAGUGGACGUUACUCGCAGAAUAAGCACCGGCUAACUCUGUGCCAGCCGCCGCGGUAA